rnacentral:ncRNA from 1 species
ACAAUGGAGAGUUUGAUCCUGGCUCAGGAUGAACGCUAGCGGCAGGCCUAAUACAUGCAAGUCGGACGGGAUUUCGGUGUAGCUUGCUACACCGGAUGAGAGUGGCGCACGGGUGCGUAACGCGUGAGC